CGACGGGGUUUGACGUCAUCCCUCGCGGCCUCUGGCCCGUGAACGUCACACUGCGGGGCCGCUCCGUGCGCUUGCCAUGCCCAGCCCGGCCCGGCCUGGCCCUGCGCGGUGGCGGGUUUAAGCCGAAGCAAAUCCGCGCAGCCACCGAAGGUGGCGGGGAGCAAUCGCUCCCCUGCGUUUGUGCCGGCUGCAGCGCCUGGCCCGGACUUGGGCGGAUGGCCGCUAGCACUGGGACAGCCCUGGGUUCGGUCGCCAACUUUCCAGAAUUGCCCUGGAGACUCCAGGAAUUAAAUAUAAUUCCAGGAGACUGCUGAGGGUCACCCAGGAGAUGCAGAGAGAGCAGUCAUUAAAGUAAAUAGUAAAUGUUGAAUCAGAUUUAUCCAGUAGUCCAGUGGGAUUUUAAAAUGUAAUAGUCAUGUCGCAUUCCUGACGUAAAAUCUAGAUGCUGUAAUCCAUAACUGAUAUAUGCAAGCACGCUGGCCCGUUCACGCUGUGCGGCGGGCACAUUGGUGUUCCAGAAACCCAGAAGAGACAGUUGACAGCCCUAGCCCUGGGGCGGGGAUGGAGCUGGACGAGCUUGCGAUGCUAGGCAUCCUUCCUCAGGCCAGCUCUGCUCAGUAACAUUGCAGUGUCCUGGCCUUGCUGCCAGUGUGGUGGUCCUCAGAGCUCCCAGUUUGCUCCUGUUUGAGAUAAACCGCAGGCUUCACACAUGCUGCCCCUCAGGAAGUCUGGUUGGCAGAGCCUCGCCUGAGUGUUCCCCUGGCUUUAAGCAAAGCACUGCGUCCAUCACUGGCCAUGUCCAAGGUGUCUCGGACAGCCAAAGCCGACUCAAGGUGAUUCAAUAAUUACUCGUUCAUCGGGGCGGGCUGGUGAAUAGAGAGGCCGAGAAAGCUUUAUGGUUGUAAAACUUUACUUACGUCGCUUGCUGUUGCAACGAAAAACAGUCCAGUCGUCUGAACAACUACAUUAGUUGUUCCAGCUGGCAGGGCUCAGGCCAGCACGUCCGUCUACAAAUCGGGCCGGCAGGGAAAGGGAUACGUCUGGGAUUGCGCUCGGCGACGGGGAGACGAAUCGAUAGGUGAUCAGGCUAUCGAUUAGCUCAGCCACGAGUCAGAUCUCUUCAAAAGCACUCUGCAGCGUGCUCAGAGUUCUCUGGCUUGGGCAGAAGUUGCGCUAAUUUUAAACGGCCAGCAAGCCAAUUACUAGCUGCCACGUGUGCAUAAUUUAGAACUGGCCAAUAGCGGGACACAAAUUUACAUCCGAAUGGCGGGAACUCUCUUGCACCGGGGGUUUUCUGCAGCAACAGAAAGCCUUUACUUUUGCAAGAGGCUCUCAUGUGGCGGGAAAAUUCCACCGUGCCGAGGCACCAAAAUCACUGGGUUGUGACAUGCCCCCUUGCCGACGGCACAACUGGAAUUUUAGACACAUGAGCUUAUCAUCCGGCAUCUUUGUUUUGGGACUCACCGACCUGGCAAAGCUUUAACAACCAGUAAUAUAUAUACAAACAACUUGAUAGACCGGUCUUUUCUACAAUUUACAAAAUACAAUAACUUUAAACAUAUGAUAACAACUGUUGAUCAUCGUCUGAUUGGAGAACAUCUGCUUGGGACUCUCCUCGUCUGGUAGUCAGUCCGUCCUCUCCUAUUAACAGACAAUGUCAAUAAAAUACUUAAUAACAAUAAGAAAACAGUAUUAUAGCAGGUCCUAAGCUAAUGAACGUUCCCCGUCUCAGUGUCUCCUUCAUAACCAUCACUCUACUAACUGGAACGAACUGCCGUCUGGUGCUUGGUGAAUCUCACACUCAGACAGUUGUGAAUUACCACUUUUCUGGGGUUAGUCCUGCGAAGAGAAAAAACAACAACAACACAAGACAAAAGACUCAUAAUUGGAUUUACUGUAAGGAUACUGGGUGAACGUCGGAACGGCGAGUCAUCCAGUUGUGAUGAACGAUAAUAGGAGGACGAUCGGGCUUCUCUUCCAAUUGGACAGAAUAGGUAUUGGGAUAUUGUCCCGACAGUUGAACUGUCCCUUUGUGAACUUGUGGAUGAGACUGAUGGGGGUGCGGUAUUGAAAUCCAUACUAACUCGUCAGGUUGGAACUUGGGCUCCCAAGGUGGAGGUUUCUGGACAUUAGCUUCAUCCCAUAACGGUUUAGCGGUGUUUAGUGAAAUAAGGACAUCGUGAUUAAAUUUAGUCCAGUUUUUAAACGUCCCUCCUCCUCUAAGGCGAAGCUGCUUCUUAUACAGACCUACGUGUCUCUCCACAACACCGUUGGACUGCGGAUGGUAUGGCAAAUGAAGAUGCCAGGCUACAUUAUGAAGACGAGUGAAUUUAUCCAGAGCGUUAGAGUUAAAUGGGGGUCCUCCAUCAGACUGAAUCUCAUGAGGAGGUUGCCAGGUAGCAAAUACAGCAGUCAAAGCUGAAAUGACAGCAGUGGCGUUACUUUUCUGUAGGGGGAUAACCUGUAACUGUCUUGUUCCCAAAUCGACAACAACUAGUCCUUUAUUUGGUGGCUUAGACCCUGGGAGGGGUCCCAGUAAAUCUACCUGCAAACUUUUCCUGCUUGAAACUGCGAAGAAUCGAAAGCUCCAAGUUGAUGCUUGGUCCUACGACACUUUUCUUUAGCACAUAUCUUACAGGCCUGAGCUACCUUUUCCCAAUCACGCUGAGCUCCGUAUGAAGCUGGCUCCGUAAGGGUUCGGCACCAACGUUGAUGGCAAGCUCGUGGUCCUGGGUGACCCCAAUUCUCAUGAAGCCAUGCGAGGAAUGGAUUUGCUUCAGGAUUGGUGGUAGAUGUGACAGGCAGGACUAUGUCGGUUCGGAGUGGAUCUUCUAAGAACUUAUCAAUUACCUCAUGCACUGGAUCGGUAUCUGGACGAUGGGACUUAGUGUGCCUAAUUAACAGAAGGUGCACGAAUUUAGUUAACGUUUCCCAAAUAUCUUGCCAAUCAUUCAGAUGUUCAGAAGGAAAAGCUGUGCCCGUAAGAAUUUUAUAAAUGUAUUGCGAAUCAAUUGCGAUGAUCGGAACUGGGAGUGUAUCGUUAUGAUGUGUUAAACAAUGUUCUAAUACCUUAAGGAAUCCUAAUAAUUAACAUCUUUGGGCCGAAUUAUCAUCUGGGUCAGCUUGAAAGAUUUCCUUAUCGUUACAAGCUUUGCAAUAAUAUCCAUAGCCUCCGCCAUGUCGGGAGGUUCCAUCUGAGGCCAUCCAUGCCGGGGCAGAAGUUCCAUACAAUGUAGGGACCUUCUCCUCAUCUUCUGGGCUUGGAUCAGGUACCGUGUCUUCCAAUCUCCAACAAUGCCAGUUGUAAUGGUAGGUAAGUACUAGCGUAUUCCAGGUCUUAGACUCUCCCUGAAAAUGUGGGUCAACUCUAUCUGCAUCCAGCAAGGGUAACAAUGUGGCACCGGGAGCACGUAACGUCCCAUGCCCCCUUGCUAAAGGCUCCACCAAUUGUUCGGCUAGGAGGAUUUUUCCUAUAGCUCCAUAUCGACGUUGUGCCGCUUGAAGUGUUUUAUGGGCUGUAUAUACUAGCUCAUUAUGAGAAUUAUGUGCGACAGCCCACACAUGGUUGGUGGUGAACCCAAGGGUUACGGUUAGUGACUCACCCAGAUCGAUGGCAUGGAGUUGUGUAUCUUUAACCAUAGCUAGCAGACGAAGCAGGUUCUGCUGAUCUCUUUUCGUCCAUGAUGCGGACUUUCGGGAUUUGUUACGGAUCUGUCGCUGCAAUUUGGUGAGGAGUGCCAAAGCACCAGGUUCAACAUAAUGUCGAUAUCAAUUCAAAUGACCCAACAGCUGUUGAAAGUGCCUCUUAGUUGUAGGGAAGAAUGUUUUCAAUGGAUCGACGUCAGGACCCUCAUGAGAAAUUCCGUGGCGGAUGGAACCGAUGUAUCGAGUACCAAGGAACGUAAUGUCAUCUACAGGAUGCAAACACGACUUGUCCUCGUUGAUUGUCCAUCCUUCACUUUGAAGUCACUUUGAGCUCUGCUGCAUCCUGUCCAGGAACUUGAGCAAAUGAUCCCUACUGCAGUGGGAGGAAAGACGAGGGCUGGGGAUGAUAGCACUGUGAAGAUACAAAAGAGAGGAGCCUAAUUCAAGCAGCUAUUGUAAGCAUGAGAGGAACAAGAGCAGAGAGACUUGGAAAAGACAAGGAAAUUAAAACUGUAGAAAGAGAGCAGAACCAGGCACUCAUGAAUCACCUCUUCAGAAUGGUAGUAAACAGUUCCAAGUUCCCAUACACAUCUACAGCUUUUUAUAGACUUCUGAGCUUGCUACAACAGUGGCUGCUGUGUGGUGUCCUAUGCAGGGCCAGGCACUGUUCAUUGACCUAGUAGUUUCUCGCCUAGAUACAAGUGCACAUAACUCUUGCAAUACAAGUCCCUCUGCAAGUGCUUAAAGAGCUACCAAAAACAGUGCAAGUCCCAGCUCCAACACCCUCUCAGCUGUGCUCCACCAAACUACGGACUCUUCAGGUGUCAUUACCCAAUGAUUGUGUGUGCGCUUCGGCACUGCAGAAUUAUUUCCCGCCACAUGGAGCUUUCUUUGCACGGUGCAAUUCUCAGCUGCAGAGAGAAAACCCCGGUGCAAAGGAGUUCCCGCCACCCGUAUGUAAAUUUGUUCCCCAUUACUGGCUGUUUCUAAAUUAUUCCCAUGUGGCGGCUAGCGAUUGGCUUGCUAGCCGUAUAAGAGGCUUGAGCAGUUUCCGCCCAAGUUGGAGAUCUCCGAGAAUCUCAGGAAGAUCCUGAGAACCCUGAUUCCGAGAAUUCCGGGAGAAAUCCGAGAGAAUUCCGGCAAGGAGUCCACGAUUAUCUCGUGGAUUUCUACGUAUAUCUCGGACCGAGUGAUGGUUUGAUCAGCCAUCAAGAAUCUCUCCCCGUCACCGGACGAUCCUUGACAUACCCCUGCCCUGCGCGCUCGUUGAGAGUCACAGUACGGACUCUUGUAUCGGUUUAGAGAGCUCUCAUCGUUUGAGUUUUCUUCUUUUCUUCUGUCUACAACUGUAACCAAGCAAGUUUUCCUGCCUGCACCGCGACCAUCUACGGUGUAAGUAAAAUAAUCUUUAAUCAA